UACGUAGGGUGCGAGCGUUGUCCGGAUUUAUUGGGCGUAAAGAGCUCGUAGGCGGCUCGUCGCGUCGACCGUGAAAACCCACAGCUUAACUGUGGGCUUGCGGUUGAUACGGGCGGGCUAGAGUUCGGUAGGGGAGACUGGAAUUCCUGGUGUAGCGGUGAAAUGCGCAGAUAUUGGGAGGAACACCAGUGGCGAAGGCGGCUCACUGGACCGGUUCUGACGCUGAUGCGCGAAAGCGUGGGGAGCAAACGGG
rnacentral:rRNA from 1 species